rnacentral:lncRNA from 1 species
CUCGUGUUCGUAUUUUAGCCAAUCAGCGCUCAGAAAGGGUUGUCCGAAUAGAAAUCCAUUUUGAUGUAUUCAGUCAAUUAUAUCUUUCGUUAUUCUUUAUGAAACUAGUUGAAAUUUUGUAAUUAUGUUUGGUUAUGAGAACUAUAGCUCUGAAAAAAAUAUGGAAUCGAAAUAAAGUAUAUUAUAGGAGAUAUUCAGUUGUUUUAAUCACGAAAUGGAUUUCUAUUUGACAACUAGUGCCAGUACUUUUCCGCGUAUCAAGAUCAUCUGGAUGUAAUUAGGUAAGCGUAAUACUUGAUGUCACGCGUGUAGAGGUACUUUGACGUUUAGAAUCGAUUUCCGGUGUUUCCAGACUUAUAGGAUACAAGCAACUCAUGGUUUUCGUCGAGUAAAGUUGUACUUCUGGGUCAGACGCAUCACUACAGACCCAAAUACCGAAAACAAUACAGAAGGAUGCAAAUCUGAAGAUGCAAGCUCAAAAAUAGCACUCUAAUGAUUCGAACAAGACUACUACGAAGAAGAUACGUCCCAAGGGGUCGAAGUAAUGUUGGGCAUAAGGUAUGGGCUACGGCUAGUUUAUAUUUUAUUCAGAAAAUUGAGUAAUUUGAUAAUAUACGUCCUCGCUUGACUUCCAAAGGCAUAAAUCGCUACAAGUUUGAUGUUGACUAAAACUAUCAACGGGAAUUAGGAGAUAAAUUUUCCCUGAAUCGAGUGGUGGUAUUUUUGUCUUAUAGCAUGCACCGAACCGAAGAAGAUAUGAACCUGCUAAGUCUUAUUGCACCGGUGUAAUGCGUUACAGGGAAACCGGUUGAGAAAGAUUAAGACAGUUUACCAGACGCAUAUCAGACUGCAAUGACUAAAACAGCUGCUGGGAUAUGGAAGUGAUUGCUCUCCUGAUGUUCGAAAGGUUCGUUUGAGUUUGAUUUACCAUAGCAUGCACCGAACCGAAGAAGAUAUGAACCUGCAAAGUCAUAUUGCACCGGUGCAAUGCGUUACAGGGAGACCGGUUGAGAAAGAUUAAGACAGUUUACCAGACGCAGAUCAGACUGCAAUGAGUAAAACAGCUGCUGGGAUAUGGAAGAGAUGCUCUCCUGAUUUUCGAAAGAUUGGUUUGAGUUUGGUUUACCAUAAACCUCAGAAUAUAAGCCCUGGGCUUAUAUUCAUUCGUAUGCAUGCAUUUCUGAUUGGCAUAUAGCUUGCGAACAUGCUCUCAUUAGCCUAUAGACGGGGGGGGCGGGGGAGUAAUAUAUGAGACUUAUAUACGGACAUCACUAUUGAAUCGAACGGUAGUAGUUUUGUCCUUGUUGGCUUCGUAUAACCGGAGAUAAAGCGCAGCAAAGUUUCCCGAUCCCCGAGUUGGAAAAUCAUAGCGUCUGGAGAUAAAGAGAUUGAACUUGUCAUGUUAGCUCUCUCUCUCUUGAUUUUGGAAAUCGGAUAUCCUGACGAAGAAGCUCGUCCAUUUUGCAACAAGCAAACAAAAGUGCACGAAGGACACGCGAUUUCCAGCGUUCCGUGUGGCCUGCUCUGUAUUGUUGCGUGAUCUCGUAAUCUGGGAGAUUAAUGAUGUGUUCGACCAUCAAUGAUGUGCUUGACCAUCGACGAUUUCGAAAUUUGCAUAUACAACUUAACGGGAAAAUUGUUAUAUCUCAAGACGAUAGAAUUUACAAUAAAAUCAUUCAAUGCGUUAGGUUUAAAAGCACGGAAUAAAGAAGUCUAGAAGUUUGUACCUUGUAAAGUUUUCUCUGGAGGCCGCGCAGAGCAUUUGUCGGUGCUACACUGUUAAACUGCCGUCUCACAGAGGCAGACACCCAAAUAUUAAAAUAAAAUCGUUAUUUUUAUUAGCGUAAGGAAAAUUCAAUAAAGCAAUGCAGACGUUUUCCACUUGUUUUGUAUCAUAGGCCGCCGUAUAUAAAUAUGAAGAACCUAGACACUUGUCGCGGACAUAAUGUGGCAUUUUCCCAAACUGACUGGACAUAUUCCUUAACGGUUUCAUGCCGUUCUUGACUGGAUAUCAUGCAUAGCAAUAAAUUUUAUCAUUUUUCAGCUUUCCAAGGCAUUUCGUCAUGCAUAAAUCAGCGUUAUCAGACGCUAAAUAAACGGAAUUUCCUCUAGAUUCUACCAAAUACUUUCAUUCGCUUCUUCCAUCGUACUAAAAGAACGUACCACCAAAAUAAAUACGAUGGUCAACUGAUAUUUUUCCAAAAUCAGUCGCAUAAAUUUGAAGCAAAAAAUGUAAGGAUUCUUUAUAUAUAUUGAGGAUUGUCACAGAUAUCGUCAGUUUGUUACAGAUAUCGUCACAUCUCGAGCAGAGACUAGCGAGUAGCGGUUACUUUCACCUUUUUUACCUUCUAGCGCAAUUACGAAAUUCUUUCUAAAUUAAUCUUUAAAAGCCUCUGCGAAGGAGAGGGGUAUUGCUAUAUACGAUUCCAUAGCUAAUAAAAUAGAUCGAUUGCAGCAGAAGAAGACGCGUUUUAGGAUGUGAUUUGACGGGACCAAUUACCGGGUAAAAAUGGGGCUUUAGGCUUAUGCAAUUGCAAUUUUUCAACAGCUGAUUGCUUUUAAAGGUUUUGAAAAGUCCUUGAAAAUAGGCUGAAAAAGUCUUUGAAAGUCUGUGUGAAUUUUUUUGGUCUUGGAGACUACGAACCCUGCUCAUAUAGUGUUGUGUAUUGUAUAACUUUUAGUAGGAACUAUAGUUCAAAAAUUAGCGAUGAUGUAUUGAGUGCAUGAUUUAGUGGUAGUGGGCAAGUAGUAACAGGGUAAUAUUAAAGUAACAUUUGUAUACAAUCAUUAAUAGUUAAUAAUUAAAAAGAAGUCAAUGAUAUAAUGAGGUGUUGUAUCCAUAUAUACAAAACUCUUCUGAUUCUCACAACGUUUGCCUCGAUUUUCUCAGUUAAAAUCACUUCGUUUUAAAUAAUUUCUUAAAACUCAACUGUUCAAAUCUUUAUACGUUUUGCAAGCUAUCUGCGGCAUUUGCGCAACCUCUCGCAUUUAACACGAGUUUGUGUAUCUGAUACAACACGGCCGUUCAUGCUGUAUAUAUUACUUAAAGCACGGCUAGGAGAGAUCAUUGGCAUCUUGUAAAAGUACUUUAUGAUUAAAUAGUGUGUAAGAUAUAUAGUGUUAUAUACCCUUAAGUUUCCGUUAUAAAUUAACCGUAAUUAUAUAUUUGUUGUGUUCGUUGUCGUAAUAUUGUAGUAAUUCAUGUAUGUGAUAAUGUAGCACGGCCUGGAAAACCACUUUUUGUAAAUAGUUUUAAACCGUGGGUAAAUAAAGUUUUCAGC